rnacentral:lncRNA from 1 species
AGGUGACGGAGGCGGUCGUCCUGGUGGUGCUCGUCUGGAGGUCCGUGGCGGUCCUCUGGAGGUGCUCGUCUGGAGGUCCGUGGCGGUCGUCUGGAGGUGCUCGCCGUGAGGUCCGUGGCGGUCGUCUGGAGGCGCUCGCCGUGAGGUCCGUGGCGGUCGUCUGGAGGUGCUCGCCGUGAGGUCCGUGGCGGUCGUCUGGAGGCGCUCGCUGCAGAUGGAGGGAAGGCCGGGAGCUGUGCAGCCCAACGGAUGCAGAACGAAGGACUGAGGCGGAGGCCAGCCUGGAGGCGGAGGCCAGCCUGGAGGCGGCGGUGGCCUGGAGGUCCUGGAGGCGUCCAACCUGGAAGGGGCGGCAUGGAGGGCCAGGUGGCGUCUCCUCGUCCAGUGAAAAGGGCCUGGAGGCGGCCAACCUGGAAGGCCUGGAGACGGCAGAGGUCCUGGAGGCAACGGCGGGCCUGGAGGCGGAGGCCAACCUGGAGGUCCUGGAGGCGGUGGCAGCGGCCAUCCUGGAGGAGGACAACCUGGAGGUCCUGGAGAGCCUCGAGGCGCCGGCGGCAGCCAUCCUGGAGGCGACGGCGGAGACCAACCUGGAGGGCCUGGAAAGGUGGUACGGACCAACCUGGAGGUCCUGGCGGUGGCGUCCACCUGGCGGCGGCGGCGGCGUCCUGGAGGGCCCGGCGGUGGCGGCGUCCUGGAGGGCCCCGGCGGCGGCGGUGGCGGCGUCCUGGAGGGCCCCGGCGGCGGCGGUGGCGGCGUCCUGGAGGGCCCCGGCGGCGGCGGCGUCCUGGAGGGCCCCGGUGGCGUCCUGGAGGGCCCCGGCGGCGUCCUGGAGGGCCCGGCGGCGGCGGCGUCCUGGAGGGCCCGGCGGCGGCGGCUCCUCAUCCAGUAAGGCUAAACUCUUCUACAGUGCAUCGUGAACGGGGAGGAAUGUCCGGGGUGCAAAUAGACCGUGUGUCACAUUUCAGAAGAAAUGAGGCGACGUUUCGGAGGUCCAGGCGGUCGGCCCGGUGGAGGUCCUGGAGGAGACGGUCCCGGCGGUGGAGGUCCAGGUGGGUGGCCCGGUGGAGGUCCUGGAGGAGACGGUCUCGGCGGUGGAGGACGGCUGGGGGAUCCGGCGGUGGAGGUCCGAAGGCGGCUCGUGAUUAGACCAACCAGCUCCUCAUCCAUGGAAGGAUUGAAGGAGUCACUGGGGAUGAAGAUCACUGGGGAUGAAGAUCACUGCUCAGGGGCUGACGACCACCCCCCCCCCCCCCCCCCCCCCUCAUCUUUCCGGAGAAGGUAUAUAAAUCUACAGCUGAUGUGAUUAAAGUUCUGCAGUUCAGAUCUGCUGAUAAAGGGUCCCAUACCGUAUCCACAGCGUCCUCAAGGUGCAGGCGGUCAAACCACCACAUCUUUGAAGAGACCAAGCAGCUUGAUGACUGACUGGUUCCUUAUACUCCGGAGCAGAGGACGGACCAAAGGCCCGCAGCGCAGCAGACUAGAGACUCUGUGGAACCGGUAAGAUGCUGGAUUGACUAUCUUGAAGACAUUUUCAUUUAUUCAACGGUUAGUUUUGUUUGGCGGGUAUGUUGCUUUGAUACUAGGGGCUUCCUCUGUAACAAACUUUCUAGAGAAUAAGAUCUUAUUUCAGCCAAUCAGUGGGAUGUCCAUGAACAAGAGCCAAUGGCUGAAGGUGCUCAAACGCAUUCUUUUGACUCGCUCCUCUACUAUUGCUGUAAUCAAGCUGGAUGGCUAUUUUGCUCCUUCUACUGACAAAAUCAAGUCUGCCACCUGGUGGCCGAUGAGGGCGUAGCUACUCUGGGCACAUUGGAAACAUGAUAAGAGCCUGUUUUUGAUGGUUGGAUCGUACACCUAAAUGUUUUUACAUCAAAAUAUCGCCGAACCCCAUGUUGGACAAUGCUUGUUUCAUCCUUUCUAUGUUUAGCUUUGAUUUAUCCUUACCUUUUCAUGUGACCAUUCCCCUUAGGUUCAAUAAAGUUGACCUCUCCUUCAGGCGACUUGAAGGGAGACCAGAUGUGCGGCAGCUGGGUGUCGCGGUGCAGAGACCCAACGCUGGUAAAUAUUUACUUCCUCCUUGAACAGACCUAACGCGUCCAACGGCAAUUCUAUAAUCCCUCCUGAUCUUUAUCAAGGUCUGAAGACCAGUCUUUUCUGUGAACAUCUCCACUGACUAGUGUGCUCUUAAUUAAUUUGAAGUUAAUUAAAUGCAGUAACUCCAAUGCACCUGGAGGCUCGUAUUGUCUUUUUUUGAAACCUGGUUCACUAGGACUGUUGCGGUAAAUAAAUGCUUGUUUUUUCGCUAAUUUAAGUCUAUGGAAUCAAAUGCUGAUUGAGACCAGAUGGGGCUGUUCCUGUAUUUAUAGACAUUUGAUUGCCCUAGAAACUGAUUCUACUUUUUGCAUCAAUUUACUUCACAGCACUGAACUACACCAGUGUGUCCUACGCCCCCAUAAACCCUGAGGAUCCCUGGCUACACCAGCACAUUAAUCCACACCCAACAUUAACACGCAGUGCACACUCUAUAGAGUUUGUAAGUCCGCCCCUUGCGGCGGGACCUCGUGAGAUCGUAAGAUAUGACUGGGUUUCAAUGGAGAGAAAGUCAUUAUUUUCUCCAUUAUGUUGCACCACAUUUUGGGGGAAGAAUGUUUGAAUCAAUCUUUGUCAUUUAUUUCCGUACUCCAUAUCUGUAAUCCCAGCUGUUGUAUUUUAACACGGUAGCUGGGAAUCCUCUUUAUAGGGAGCGACUAGAGGGACGAGGCUGGAAGCAAACCUGAGCCUGGCUCUUAACCUUCUUUCUAAACCUAAUGCCGCAAUUUAACCGCAAAUAAAGUGAGGCCUAAAGUAACUUGACUCUCUUACCUAAACUUGCUUGCCUAAACUCGCUUGUCUAAACUCGCUUGCAUAAAAUCUGAACUUGCUUGGCUAAACUCGCGUCACUUGCCUAAUACCUGAACUCGCUUGCCUAAACUCGCUUGCCUAAACUCGCUUGCCUAAACUCGCUUGCCUAAACUCGCUUGCCUAAUACCUGAACUCUCUUGCCUGAACUCUCUUGCCUGAACUCUCUUGCCUGAACUCUCUUGCCUGAACUCUCUUGCCUGAACUCUCUUGCCUGAACUCUCUUGCCUGAACUCUCUUGCCUGAACUCUCUUGCCUGAACUCUCUUGCCUGAACUCGCUUGCCUGAACUCGCUUGCCUGAACUCGCUUGCCUAAACUCGCUUGCCUAAACUCGCUUGCCUAAACUCGCUUGCCUAAACUCGCUUGCCUAAAACCUAACUUGCUCAGCUUGACUCGCUUGCAUAAUAACUGAACUCGCUUGCAUAAAACUUGCUUAGCUUGACUCGCUUGCCUGUACUUGCUUGGCUAAACUCGCUUGCCUAAUACCUGAAGUCGCUUGCCUGAAGUCGCAUGCCUAAUACCUGAAGUCGCUUGCCUAAAACCUAAACUUGCUUGUCCAAACAUGUUACACAAAGUUAACCAUCCAUAAUCUUUAACCCAAACCAGACUUGUCCCUGGGUCGCUCCACUAUAAUUUAGAAGUUUCUUCUUUUACCUCAUCUGCGUUUUGAGUUUCAUUCUUUGAGGGCUUGAAGUGCUUUGGAGGAUAUUUGAACCUUUGUUUGCCGCAUUUGUUCGCCAAAUGUUCAGUGUCCUUUGACGUAAUGUCUAUGGUCUGACGAUAAUCUGACCUCUUCAUGAAGCAGAAUGUGUGUGAAUGUUGUCCCGUGAGCUCCAGGCUCUCAGGAAUACUCCCUGAGUAUUUCAGACCUGUGGUGUUUCACAUGAGACCUUAAUGGGAACUUUUCUUUUUCUGCCUGCAUACGUAAUGCCUACAUUAGUAGGGUGAUCACUGUUGAUCCCAAUAUUGAUCAUUAACCACCUCAUUCUUUUAUGAUUUCUUUCGAUAAGGAUUACAAAUCAUGUAAUUUAUGAGCAUAUUUGCAAAUGGCUCCAAAUAUCAGAUUCUGUAAAAACUAAUGAAAUGUAACCUGCUAGAAAAUAAAACAUCCAAAUAUUAUAAACCUGUUUUGUGUUGCUCUCUUACCAUGUGGAAAUGAAACGCAGAUAGAUAUGUUUAGCUCUGAUUUGCUGCCUCCUUUUGGUGUGGUGCUGGGAUUUGUUUAAUAUAUUAUCAUUUCCAGGAUAAGUUAAUAACCUAGCAUAGCCUACCCGGAAAAGAAGGG